UAAUCUGUGCCAGCGCGNGGUAACACCGGCGCCCGAGUGGUAGCCGAUUUUUUAUUUGGGGUCAAUGAAACGGGGUCCGUUAGACCCCGGGCUUCGAAUAAGGUCCCUUUGGGGAAAUCUGAGCAUCUCGAAACUGUUAGGGCUUUUCAGGGGGAUACUGUUAGACUUGGGACCGGGAGAGGUAAGAGGUACUACAGGGGUAGGAGUGAAAUCUUGUAAUCCCUGUGGGACCACCAGUGGCGAAGGCGUCUUACCAGAACGGGUCCGACGGUGAGGGACGAAAGCUGGGGGCACGAACCGGAUUAGAUACCCGGGUAGUCCCAGCCGUAAACGAUGUUCGCUAGGUGUCAGGGACGGUGCGACCGUUUCUGGUGCCGUAGGGAAGCCGUGAAGCGAACCACCUGGGAAGUACGGCCGCAAGGCUGAAACUUAAAGGAAUUGGCGGGGGAGCACUACAACGGGUGGAGCCUGCGGUUUAAUUGGACUCAACGCCGGAAAACUCACCGGGGGCGACAGCAAUAUGUAGGUCAGGCUAAAGACCUUACCUGAAUCGCUGAGAGGAGGUGCAUGGCCGUCGUCAGUUCGUACUGUGAAGCAUCCUGUUAAGUCAGGCAACGAGCGAGACCCGUGCCCACUGUUGCCAGCAUGUCCUUCGGGAUGAUGGGUACUCUGUGGGGACCGCCGCUGCUAAAGCGGAGGAAGGUGCGGGCUACGGUAGGUCAGUAUGCCCCGAAUCUCCCGGGCUACACGCGGGCUACAAUGAUUGGGACAAUGGGUCCCUACUCCGAAAGGAGAUGGUAAUCUCAUAAACCCAACCUUAGUUCGAAUUGAGGGCUGUAACUCGCCCUCAUGAAGCUGGAAUCCGUAGUAAUCGCGUUUCAACAUAGCGCGGUGAAUACGUCCCUGCUCC
rnacentral:rRNA from 1 species